UACAGAGGGGGCAAGCGUUGUUCGGAAUUACUGGGCGUAAAGGGCGCGUAGGCGGCCUGCUAAGUCGAACGUGAAAUCCCUGGGCUCAACCCAGGAACUGCGUCCGAUACUGGUUGGCUUGAAUCCGGGAGAGGGACGUGGAAUUCCUGGUGUAGCGGUGAAAUGCGCAGAUAUCAGGAAGAACACCAAUGGCGAAAGCAGCUCUCUGGGACGGUACUGACGCUGAGACGCGAAAGCGUGGGGAGCGAACAGG
rnacentral:rRNA from 1 species